rnacentral:lncRNA from 1 species
UUUUGUUGUGGUGUGCGUGGAGCAGAGAAGGUGUGCUCGAUACUGAGUUCGUCAAAAAAAUCCGCGAAGAGAUUGUGAUCGAACUCUCCCCCAUGAUCACUUAUUAUUGAAGUGAUGGUUGUGUCCUUUUCAUUUUGAACACGUUCAAGAAAACAUUUAAAAUUAUGAAAAGCGUCACUUGUAUGAGCAAGAAAUAGUGUCCAUG